GGUGAGUAAUGCCUAGGAAUCUGCCUGGUAGUGGGGGACAACGUUUCGAAAGGAACGCUAAUACCGCAUACGUCCUACGGGAGAAAGCAGGGGACCUUCGGGCCUUGCGCUAUCAGAUGAGCCUAGGUCGGAUUAGCUUGUUGGUGAGGUAAUGGCUCACCAAGGCGACGAUCCGUAACUGGUCUGAGAGGAUGAUCAGUCACACUGGAACUGAGACACGGUCCAGACUCCUACGGGAGGCAGCAGUGGGGAAUAUUGGACAAUGGGCGAAAGCCUGAUCCAGCCAUGCCGCGUGUGUGAAGAAGGUCUUCGGAUUGUAAAGCACUUUAAGUUGGGAGGAAGGGUUGUAGAUUAAUACUCUGCAAUUUUGACGUUACCGACAGAAUAAGCACCGGCUAACUCUGUGCCAGCAGCCGCGGUAAUACAGAGGGUGCAAGCGUUAAUCGGAAUUACUGGGCGUAAAGCGCGCGUAGGUGGUUUGUUAAGUUGGAUGUGAAAGCCCCGGGCUCAACCUGGGAACUGCAUCCAAAACUGGCAAGCUAGAGUACGGUAGAGG
rnacentral:rRNA from 1 species